rnacentral:rRNA from 1 species
UACGAAGGGGGCUAGCGUUGCUCGGAAUGACUGGGCGUAAAGGGCGCGUAGGCGGUUUGUACAGUCAGAUGUGAAAUUCCUGGGCUCAACCUGGGGGCUGCAUUUGAUACGUGCGGACUAGAGUGGGGAAGAGGGUCGUGGAAUUCCCAGUGUAGAGGUGAAAUGCGUAGAUAUCGGGAGGAACACCAGUGGCGAAGGCGGCGACCUGGGCAGAUACUGACACUGAGGUGCGAAAGCGUGGGGAGCAAACAGG